rnacentral:rRNA from 1 species
GACGAACGCUGGCGGCGUGCCUAAUACAUGCAAGUUGAGCGCUGAAGGAUGGUACUUGUACCCACUGGGUGGGCAGCGAACGGGUGAGUAACGCGUGGGGAAUCUGCCAUUGAGCGGGGGACAACAUUUGGAAACGAAUGCUAAUACCGCAUAAAAACUUUAAACACAAGAUUUAAGUUUGAAAGAUGCAAUUGCCUCACUCAUAGAUGAACCCGCGUUGUAUUAGCUAGCUGGUGAGGUAAAGGCUCACCAAGGCGAAGAUACAUAGCCGACCUGAGAGGGUGAUCGGCCAAAAUGGGACUGAGACACGGCCCAAACUCCUACGGGAGGCAGCAGGAGGGAAUCUUCGGAAAUGGACGACAGGCUGACCGAGCAACGACGCGUGAGUGAAGAAGGUUUUCGGAUCGUAAAACUCUGUUGGUAGAGAAGAACGUUGGUGAGGGUGGAAAGCUCAUCAAGUGACGGUAACUACACAGAAAGAGACGGCUAACUACGUG